ACACGACUCUCGGGAACGGAUAUCUCGGCUCUCGCAUCGAUGAAGAACGUAGCGAAAUGCGAUACCUGGUGUGAAUUGCAGAAUCCCGCGAACCAUCGAGUCUUUGAACGCAAGUUGCGCCCGAGGCCACUCGGCCGAGGGCACGCCUGCCUGGGCGUCACGC
rnacentral:rRNA from 1 species